UUUUACUGUUCAUGCGGGAGCAUAUGAGCUCGGGAUCAAAAGAGCACUUUCGCUCCAUGAUUUCAUAUAACUCUAGGAUCAUUGCCUAAUAUUUGAUUGUGACUCAUCAUAAAUACUAGCAUUACCAUGCAAAUACAUAUGAAAUAAAUGUCAUUGGUCCAUAUAAAAGACCGAACAAAAUUUAUCCUGAAUCGGCAAGAUUUGGCAACAAUAUUGGUAGUGGAAAUACAUUAAUGAGAGAUCAUUAUCUAAGAUGUUAUUGUGGCUCUCUAUAUAUAGGAAGUGGUCAUAUAGGAACAUAAGAAAGAAGGAGAAGCAGGAAAAAAACUAAUCUCUUUGUCCUCAUGGCACUCGCUAAGAACAGUGCAGGAUGGCCGACGGUCAUGCGUUCCAUAGCUAUUGCUUUCAUGGUGCUUUCCAUGAUGUGUUCUACCUUCCCAUCCUGCCAUGCAGGCACUGAAUCUGUUCAUAAUGUGGUUUGUGAGACUCUCGAUCCCUGUAAUAGCCCGAGGUGUGAAGACAUGUGUCAUCGUAUAAUGCAACAUCGAUCCAGACACUAUUGCAAGACCCAUAAUGUUCAAAUUCCAAACUGUUGUUGUAUAGAACAAUAAUAUAAUUGUUGGUUCUCCUGCUUGAGCCAUGCAAUGUUGAAUAAAUUGAUAUCAAUAAAGAUGUUUUUCAAGUAA